rnacentral:lncRNA from 1 species
CUUUCUCCUCUUGUCUAUGCUUCUCCUUUACUUUAUUAGUACUUUACUUUAGUAAAGACUACUUUUGCUUUUUACAGAACAAUACUUCUUAGGUUAAGAGAUUUCGUACAUUCUUAUAUUUUUUAAUUACUCAUAGAGGUGUUGUAAUUUUUUGAUGAUAAUCAUUGUUUUAAACGAAUGGAAUGAUUUUAGGUAUUGGUAUUGGAGCUGUGUUUGGUUGUUUAAUUAUUGGAUAUGCUAGAAACCCCUCCCUGAAACAACAAUUAUUUUCCUAUGCCAUCCUUGGAUUUGCCCUUUCCGAAGCCAUGGGCUUAUUUUGCCUAAUGAUAGCUUUCUUAAUGUUGUUCGCCCUUUAGAUUUACUAGUUUUAAGAAAUAAAUUUACUAUUUUUUUUAUUGAAUCGAUGUUUAAUUAAUAAAGUAUUGCUAGAAUGUUA